GAUGAAGAACGUAGCGAAAUGCGAUAAGUAAUGUGAAUUGCAGAAUUCAGUGAAUCAUCGAAUCUUUGAACGCACAUUACGCCCGCCAGUAUUCUGGCGGGCAUGCCUGUCUGAGCGUCAUUUCAACCCUCAUGCCCCUAGGGCGUGGUGUUGGGGAUCGGCCAAAGCCCGCGAGGGACGGCCGGCCCCUAAAUCUAGUGGCGGACCCGUCGUGGCCUCCUCUGCGAAGUAGUGAUAUUCCGCAUCGGAGAGCGAUGAGCCCCUGCCGUUAAACCCCCAACUUUCCAAGGUUGACCUCAGAUCAGGUAGGAAUACCCGCUGAACUUAAGCAUAUCAAUAAGCGGAGGA
rnacentral:misc_RNA from 1 species